rnacentral:misc_RNA from 1 species
GGAAGAGAGGGUCGGCCCGCAAAGAGGUCGAGUAUAGAGCCUACGACAGUCUGCUGGUCUGAAGAGAGGGUAACGCCAGGUGAAGUUUGCACGUUUGUCGUCUCGACGCUGAGACUGCGGGUGGCGUUUGACGAGGGAACGCCGGUAGACAUGUUUAUCCUAGUCACACUUGGCGUGCGUCCAAUGUAUGAGACAGCUAACUUUGUAUUCAAU